AGCUGUGUGUGUGUGUAGGUGUGUGUGUGUAGCUGUGUGUGUGUAGGUGUGUGUGUCUCUGUGUGUGAGGAGGACGAGGGUGAUCUCUUGCUGUUCCUCACCGGCCAAGAGGUACGUGUGUAGCUGUGUGUGUGUAGGUGUGUGUGUCUCUGUGUGUGUCUCUGUGUGUGUGUAGCUGUGUGUGUAGGUGUGUGUGUAGAUGUGUAGGUGUGUGUGUAGGUGUGUGUCUCUGUGUGUGAGGAGGACGAGGGUGAUCUCUUGCUGUUCCUCACCGGCCAAGAGGUACGUGUGUAGCUGUGUGUGUGUAGGUGUGUGUGUCUCUGUGUGUGUGUGUAGCUGUGUGUGUAGGUGUGUGUGUAGAUGUGUAGGUGUGUGUGUAGGUGUGUGUCUCUGUGUGUGAGGAGGACGAGGGUGAUCUCUUGCUCUUCCUCACCGGCCAAGAGGUACGUGUGUAGCUGUGUGUGUAGGUGUAGGUGUGUGUGUGUAGCUGUGUGUAGGUGUAGGUGUGUGUGUGUGUGAGGAGGACGAGGGUGAUCUCUUGCUCUUCCUCACCGGCCAAGAGGUACGUGUGUAGGUGUGUGUGUAGGUGUGUGUGUAGGUGUGUGUGUGUAGGUGUGUGUGUAGGUGUGUGUCUCUGUGUGUGAGGAGGACGAGGGUGAUCUCUUGCUCUUCCUCACCGGCCAAGAGGUACGUGUGUAGGUGUGUGUGUCUCUGUGUGUGUCUCUGUGUGUGUGUGUAGGUGUGUGUGUCUCUGUGUGUGAGGAGGACGAGGGUGAUCUCUUGCUCUUCCUCACCGGCCAAGAGGAGAUUGAGGAGGCCUGCAAGCGAAUCAAGCGUGAGAUUGAGAACCUGGGCCCCGAGGUUGGGGAUGUGAAGAUCAUUCCGCUGUCUCUCUCUCUGUGUGUCUCU